CCUACGGGCGGCAGCAGUGAGGAAUAUUGGUCAAUGGACGAGAGUCUGAACCAGCCAAGUAGCGUGAAGGAUGACUGCCCUAUGGGUUGUAAACUUCUUUUAUAUGGGAAUAAAAUGUUCCACGUGUGGGAUUUUGUAUGUACCCUAUGAAUAAGGAUCGGCUAACUCCGUGCCAGCAGCCGCGGUAAUACGGAGGAUCCGAGCGUUAUCCGGAUUUAUUGGGUUUAAAGGGAGCGUAGGUGGAUUGUUAAGUCAGUUGUGAAAGUUUGCGGCUCAACCGUAAAAUUGCAGUUGAAACUGGCAGUCUUGAGUACAGUAGAGGUGGGCGGAAUUCGUGGUGUAGCGGUGAAAUGCUUAGAUAUCACGAAGAACUCCGAUUGCGAAGGCAGUUCACUGGACUGCAACUGACACUGAGGCUCGAAAGUGUGGGUAUCAAACAGGAUUAGAUACCCUUGUAGUC
rnacentral:rRNA from 1 species